AUGGGAGCUUGCUCCCUGAUGUUAGCGGCGGACGGGUGAGUAACACGUGGGUAACCUGCCUGUAAGACUGGGAUAACUCCGGGAAACCGGGGCUAAUACCGGAUGCUUGUUUGAACCGCAUGGUUCAAACAUAAAAGGUGGCUUCGGCUACCACUUACAGAUGGACCCGCGGCGCAUUAGCUAGUUGGUGAGGUAAUGGCUCACCAAGGCAACGAUGCGUAGCCGACCUGAGAGGGUGAUCGGCCACACUGGGACUGAGACACGGCCCAGACUCCUACGGGAGGCAGCAGUAGGGAAUCUUCCGCAAUGGACGAAAGUCUGACGGAGCAACGCCGCGUGAGUGAUGAAGGUUUUCGGAUCGUAAAGCUCUGUUGUUAGGGAAGAACAAGUACCGUUCGAAUAGGGCGGUACCUUGACGGUACCUAACCAGAAAGCCACGGCUAACUACGUGCCAGCAGCCGCGGUAAUACGUAGGUGGCAAGCGUUGUCCGGAAUUAUUGGGCGUAAAGGGCUCGCAGGCGGUUUCUUAAGUCUGAUGUGAAAGCCCCCGGCUCAACCGGGGAGGGUCAUUGGAAACUGGGGGAACUUGAGUGCAGAAGAGGAGAGUGGAAUUCCACGUGUAGCGGUGAUAUGCAUAGA
rnacentral:rRNA from 1 species